GAUCCUGGCUCAGGAUGAACGCUGGCGGCGUGCCUAACACAUGCAAGUCGAGCGAUUCUCUUCGGAGAAGAGCGGCGGACGGGUGAGUAACGCGUGGGUAACCUGCCCUGUACACACGGAUAACAUACCGAAAGGUAUGCUAAUACGGGAUAAUAUGUUUUGAUCGCAUGGUCGAAAUAUCAAAGCUCCGGCGGUACAGGAUGGACCCGCGUCUGAUUAGCUAGUUGGUGAGGUAGUGGCUCACCAAGGCGACGAUCAGUAGCCGACCUGAGAGGGUGAUCGGCCACAUUGGAACUGAGACACGGUCCAAACUCCUACGGGAGGCAGCAGUGGGGAAUAUUGCACAAUGGGCGAAAGCCUGAUGCAAGCAACGCCGCGUGAGCGAUGAAGGCCUUCGGGUCGUAAAGCUCUGUCCUCAAGGAAGAUAAUGACGGUACUUGAGGAGGAAGCCCCGGCUAACUACGUGCCAGCCGCAGC
rnacentral:rRNA from 1 species